rnacentral:rRNA from 1 species
UGCAAGUCGACGGAUCCUUCGGGAUUAGUGGCGGACGGGUGAGUAACACGUGGGAACGUGCCCUUUGGUUCGGAACAACUCAGGGAAACUUGAGCUAAUACCGGAUGUGCCCUUCGGGGGAAAGAUUUAUCGCCAUUGGAGCGGCCCGCGUCUGAUUAGCUAGUUGGUGGGGUAAAGGCCCACCAAGGCGACGAUCAGUAGCUGGUCUGAGAGGAUGAUCAGCCACAUUGGGACUGAGACACGGCCCAAACUCCUACGGGAGGCAGCAGUGGGGAAUCUUGCGCAAUGGGCGAAAGCCUGACGCAGCCAUGCCGCGUGAAUGAUGAAGGUCUUAGGAUUGUAAAAUUCUUUCACCGGGGACGAUAAUGACGGUACCCGGAGAAGAAGCCCCAGCUAACUUCGUGCCAGCAGCCGCGGUAAUACGAAGGGGGCUAGCGUUGCUCGGAAUUACUGGGCGUAAAGGGAGCGUAGGCGGACUGUUAAGUUAGAGGUGAAAGCCCAGGGCUCAACCUUGGAAUUGCCUUUGAUACUGGCAGUCUUGAGUACGGAAGAGGUAUGUGGAACUCCGAGUGUAGAGGUGAAAUUCGUAGAUAUUCGGAAGAACACCAGUGGCGAAGGCGACAUACUGGUCCGUUACUGACGCUGAGGCUCGAAAGCGUGGGGAGCAAACAGGAUUAGAUACCCUGGUAGUCCACGCCGU